UACGAAGGGGGCGAGCGUUGUUCGGAUUUACUGGGCGUAAAGGGCGCGCAGGCGGCAGACCAAGUCAGGCGUGAAAGCCCCGGGCUUAACCUGGGAACUGCGUCUGAUACUGGGAAGCUUGAGUUCGGGAGAGGGAUGUAGAAUUCCAGGUGGAGCGGUGAAAUGCGUAGAUAUCUGGAGGAAUACCGGUGGCGAAGGCGGCAUCCUGGACCGAAACUGACGCUGAGGCGCGAAAGCUAGGGGAGCAAACGGG
rnacentral:rRNA from 1 species